rnacentral:rRNA from 1 species
GGAGGGUGCAAGCGUUGUUCGGGAUCACUGGGCGUAAAGGGCGUGUAGGCGGUCCGCUAAGUCUGAUGUGAAAGCCCGGGGCUUACCCCCGGAAGGGCAUUGGAAACUGGCGGACUCGAGUCCCGGAGAGGAAGGUGGAAUUCCUGGUGUAGCGGUGAAAUGCGUAGAUAUCAGGAGGAAUACCGGUGGCGAAGGCGGCCUUCUGGACGGUGACUGACGCUGAGACGCGAAAGCGUGGGGAGCAAACAGGAUUAGAUACCCUGGUAGUCCACGCUGUAAACGAUGAGCACUAGGUGUCGUGGGUAUUGACCCCCGCGGUGCCGACGCUAACGCAUUAAGUGCUCCGCCUGGGGACUACGGCCGCAAGGUUA